GGGCCCGCACAAGCGGUGGAGCAUGUGGUUUAAUUCGAUGAUACGCGAGGAACCUUACCAGGGCUUAAAUGUAGUCUGACAGCUUUAGAGAUAGAGUUUUCUUCGGACAGAUUACAAGGUGCUGCAUGGUUGUCGUCAGCUCGUGCCGUGAGGUGUCAGGUUAAGUCCUAUAACGAGCGCAACCCCUGUUGUUAGUUGCCAGCGAGUAAUGUCGGGAACUCUAACAAGACUGCCGGUGCAAACCGUGAGGAAGGUGGGGAUGACGUCAAAUCAUCACGGCCCUUACGUCCUGGCCACACACGUACUACAAUGGCCGAGACAAAGAGCAGCAAGUUUGCAAAGACAAGCCAA
rnacentral:rRNA from 1 species